rnacentral:rRNA from 1 species
AUUGAACGCUGGCGGCAGGCCUAACACAUGCAAGUCGAACGAGUGGCGGACGGGUGAGUAAUGUCUGGGAAACUGCCUGAUGGAGGGGGAUAACUACUGGAAACGGUAGCUAAUACCGCAUACCAUCAGAUGUGCCCAGAUGGGAUGAGCUAGUUGGUGGGGUAAAGGCCCACCAAGGGGACGAUCCCUAGCUGGUCUGAGAGGAUGACCAGCCACACUGGAACUGAGACACGGUCCAGACCCCUACGGAGGGCAGCAGUGGGAAAUAUUGCACAAGGGGCGCAAGCCGGAUGCAGCCAGGCGGGGUGUAUGAAGAAGGCCUUCGGGUUGUAAAGUACUUUCAGCGGGGAGGCGUUACCCGCAGAAGAAGCACCGGCUAAUUCCGUGCCAGCAGCCGCGGUAAAC